AGUGAACGCUGGCGGUAGGCCUAACACAUGCAAGUCGAACGGCAGCACAGUAAGAGCUUGCUCUUACGGGUGGCGAGUGGCGGACGGGUGAGGAAUACAUCGGAAUCUACUUUUUCGUGGGGGAUAACGUAGGGAAACUUACGCUAAUACCUCAUACGACCUACGGGUGAAAGCAGGGGAUCUUCGCACCUUGCGCGAUUGAAUGAGCCGAUGUCGGAUUAGCUAGUUGGCGGGGUAAAGGCCCACCAAGGCGACGAUCCGUAGCUGGUCUGAGAGGAUGAUCAGCCACACUGGAACUGAGACACGGUCCAGACUCCUACGGGAGGCAGCAGUGGGGAAUAUUGGACAAUGGGCGCAAGCCUGAUCCAGCCAUACCGCGUGGGUGAAGAAGGCCUUCGGGUUGUAAAGCCCUUUUGUUGGGAAAGAAAAGCAGCAGGUUAAUACCCCGCUGUUCUGACGGUACCCAAAGAAUAAGCACCGGCUAACUUCGUG
rnacentral:rRNA from 1 species